UACGAAGGGGGCUAGCGUUGCUCGGAAUCACUGGGCGUAAAGCGCACGUAGGCGGCUUGUUAAGUCAGGGGUGAAAUCCUGGAGCUCAACUCCAGAACUGCCUUUGAUACUGGCGAGCUCGAGUCCGGGAGAGGUGAGUGGAACUGCGAGUGUAGAGGUGAAAUUCGUAGAUAUUCGCAAGAACACCAGUGGCGAAGGCGGCUCGCUGGCCCGGUACUGACGCUGAGGUGCGAAAGCGUGGGGAGCAAACAGG
rnacentral:rRNA from 1 species